rnacentral:lncRNA from 1 species
UUUCGUUGAGUUCCGCUGUUGUCGCCACUCUGCUUUCCAUCACUUUCCAUUCCAAGACGAGUUGGCUUCGAAGAAGGUUCUAUUGUGGUGUUAACAUUUUUUCAAAAACAACGUUGUAGAAAUGUCUGAAUAUUACAUCAAUUGUCAUCGAAUAAACACAAAAAAGAGGCAGAUUUUCAAUUCUGCAUUUCGAAGAUAAUUAUGAAGAAGAUGUCGGCAGGGAUGAGCGGCAGUGAUUUCUCCAACAAGAUGGCGCACCACCACACUAUGUCGUUCCUGUUCGAGCUUGUUUCAAUCAAUUAUUUCUCAAUCGAUGGAUUGUGGGAGAAGAGGGCCAAUUGAGGUGCCUAUAAUAUCACCAGAUUUUCGCCAGACUUCUUCCUUUAGGGAUAUCUGAAGAGUAAACUUUCAUCAUUGGACCUAAUUUGGAUGAACAACAAAUCAGAAUACCAGAAGUUCAGCAAAUAAUUUUUGAUAUCUUCAUCAAUCGUUUAGGAGCUGCCCAAGGUGAUGCCAACCCUCUAAAAGUACAGAUAGUAUCGAUUUGUCUCAGUUGUGCACAAGUUAACCAUGCAUUGAAAUAAUAAACCACCUUCAAGAAAGAUGUUUUAAUUAACACUAUAAUGACACCAACUAUGGUUUUGCUGUAGUCUAACUUUUGAAGACAAUUCCUCAGUUUAACAGUCAGGCGGCGAUGUGGAUUUUCGGUAUGCUGGAGUUGGGGGUAGAGUAAUUUAUAUUAUUGUAUAUAUUCUGCAUGUCUUUUAGGUUGUAACCAUAAUUAAAUCCCGUUUUGAGUAUUUAGCAAAAAUCAAGGCAAUGUGUGCUAUUGUUGUUUUAUCACCACGAUAUGUAUUUUAUUAAAUAACACGUAGAUUCUUU